rnacentral:rRNA from 1 species
GGUUAAGCGACUAAGCGUACACGGUGGAUGCCCUGGCAGUCAGAGGCGAUGAAGGGCGUGCUAAUCUGCGAUAAGCGCCGGUAAGGUGAUAUGAACCGUUAUAACCGGCGAUACCCGAAUGGGGAAACCCAGUGUGACUCGUCACACUAUCAUUAACUGAAUCCAUAGGUUAAUGAGGCGAACCGGGGGAACUGAAACAUCUAAGUACCCCGAGGAAAAGAAAUCAACCGAGAUUCCCCCAGUAGCGGCGAGCGAACGGGGAGGAGCCCAGAGCCUGAAUCAGCAUGUGUGUUAGUGGAAGCGUCUGGAAAGGCGCGCGAUACAGGGUGACAGCCCCGUACACAAAAGCGCAUGUGUUGUGAGCUCGAUGAGUAGGGCGGGACACGUGGUAUCCUGUCUGAAUAUGGGGGGACCAUCCUCCAAGGCUAAAUACUCCUGACUGACCGAUAGUGAACCAGUACCGUGAGGGAAAGGCGAAAAGAACCCCGGCGAGGGGAGUGAAAAAGAACCUGAAACCGUGUACGUACAAGCAGUGGGAGCCCCACCACUAAGCCAGUGGUGAACUCCACAUACGCAUCCUUUGCUGAGGAUACGGUUAACGGAGCGAAAGCGACGUUCAACCGCAAAAGAAGCAGAGGGGGCUUAGUGGUGGGGUGACUGCGUACCUUUUGUAUAAUGGGUCAGCGACUUAUAUUCUGUAGCAAGGUUAACCGUAUAGGGGAGCCGUAGGGAAACCGAGUCUUAACCGGGCGUUAAGUUGCAGGGUAUAGACCCGAAACCCGGUGAUCUAGCCAUGGGCAGGUUGAAGGUUGGGUAACACUAACUGGAGGACCGAACCGACUAAUGUUGAAAAAUUAGCGGAUGACCUGUGGCUGGGGGUGAAAGGCCAAUCAAACCGGGAGAUAGCUGGUUCUCCCCGAAAGCUAUUUAGGUAGCGCCUCGUGAAUUCAUCUCCGGGGGUAGAGCACUGUUUCGGCUAGGGGGCCAUCCCGGCUUACCAACCCGAUGCAAACUGCGAAUACCGGAGAAUGUUAUCACGGGAGACACACGGCGGGUGCUAACGUCCGUCGUGAAGAGGGAAACAACCCAGACCGCCAGCUAAGGUCCCAAAGUCAUGGUUAAGUGGGAAACGAUGUGGGAAGGCCCAGACAGCCAGGAUGUUGGCUUAGAAGCAGCCAUCAUUUAAAGAAAGCGUAAUAGCUCACUGGUCGAGUCGGCCUGCGCGGAAGAUGUAACGGGGCUAAACCAUGCACCGAAGCUGCGGCAGCGACACUCAGGUGUUGUUGGGUAGGGGAGCGUUCUGUAAGCCUGUGAAGGUGUGUCGUGAGGCAUGCUGGAGGUAUCAGAAGUGCGAAUGCUGACAUAAGUAACGAUAAAGCGGGUGAAAAGCCCGCUCGCCGGAAGACCAAGGGUUCCUGUCCAACGUUAAUCGGGGCAGGGUGAGUCGACCCCUAAGGCGAGGCCGAAAGGCGUAGUCGAUGGGAAACGGGUUAAUAUUCCCGUACUUGGUGUUACUGCGAAGGGGGGACGGAGAAGGCUAUGUUGGCCGGGCGACGGUUGUCCCGGUUUAAGCGUGUAGGUGUGUGUUCCAGGUAAAUCCGGUUCACUUUAACACUGAGGCGUGAUGACGAGGCACUACGGUGCUGAAGCAACAAAUGCCCUGCUUCCAGGAAAAGCCUCUAAGCAUCAGGUAACAUCAAAUCGUACCCCAAACCGACACAGGUGGUCAGGUAGAGAAUACCAAGGCGCUUGAGAGAACUCGGGUGAAGGAACUAGGCAAAAUGGUGCCGUAACUUCGGGAGAAGGCACGCUGACACGUAGGUGAAGUGAUUUACUCAUGGAGCUGAAGUCAGUCGAAGAUACCAGCUGGCUGCAACUGUUUAUUAAAAACACAGCACUGUGCAAACACGAAAGUGGACGUAUACGGUGUGACGCCUGCCCGGUGCCGGAAGGUUAAUUGAUGGGGUCAGCGCAAGCGAAGCUCCUGAUCGAAGCCCCGGUAAACGGCGGCCGUAACUAUAACGGUCCUAAGGUAGCGAAAUUCCUUGUCGGGUAAGUUCCGACCUGCACGAAUGGCGUAAUGAUGGCCAGGCUGUCUCCACCCGAGACUCAGUGAAAUUGAACUCGCUGUGAAGAUGCAGUGUACCCGCGGCAAGACGGAAAGACCCCGUGAACCUUUACUAUAGCUUGACACUGAACAUUGAGCCUUGAUGUGUAGGAUAGGUGGGAGGCUUUGAAGUGUGGACGCCAGUCUGCAUGGAGCCGACCUUGAAAUACCACCCUUUAAUGUUUGAUGUUCUAACGUGGACCCGUAAUCCGGGUUGCGGACAGUGUCUGGUGGGUAGUUUGACUGGGGCGGUCUCCUCCUAAAGAGUAACGGAGGAGCACGAAGGUUGGCUAAUCCUGGUCGGACAUCAGGAGGUUAGUGCAAUGGCAUAAGCCAGCUUGACUGCGAGCGUGACGGCGCGAGCAGGUGCGAAAGCAGGUCAUAGUGAUCCGGUGGUUCUGAAUGGAAGGGCCAUCGCUCAACGGAUAAAAGGUACUCCGGGGAUAACAGGCUGAUACCGCCCAAGAGUUCAUAUCGACGGCGGUGUUUGGCACCUCGAUGUCGGCUCAUCACAUCCUGGGGCUGAAGUAGGUCCCAAGGGUAUGGCUGUUCGCCAUUUAAAGUGGUACGCGAGCUGGGUUUAGAACGUCGUGAGACAGUUCGGUCCCUAUCUGCCGUGGGCGCUGGAGAACUGAGGGGGGCUGCUCCUAGUACGAGAGGACCGGAGUGGACGCAUCACUGGUGUUCGGGUUGUCAUGCCAAUGGCACUGCCCGGUAGCUAAAUGCGGAAGAGAUAAGUGCUGAAAGCAUCUAAGCACGAAACUUGCCCCGAGAUGAGUUCUCCCUGAGACUUAGAGUCUCCUGAAGGAACGUUGAAGACGACGACGUUGAUAGGCCGGGUGUGUAAGCGCAGCGAUGCGUUGAGCUAACCGGUACUAAUGAACCGUGAGGCUUAACCUU